UUCCACUAUCUCUUUUCUGUGCUUAUAUCUUGCAUGAAAUACUGGAUAAGUCAAAGUGUGUAGGAAGAAAUUUUUAUAGUCCUUAAUCUUUGCAAUGGGAAUGCUCAUGUUGAAACAUAUCUUCUUUAGGAGCUUUGUCACGUCCAGUGGAGCAACACAGGCAGCGUUUUUGUUCCUUCUGAUUCCAUGUUGCUUGCCUCAGGAUUUCACGGCACCCCCUUUAAUCCCAAGUGUUUCUUUCCUCUGGGGCUGGAAUGUCCCAACUGAACGUUGUGCUACAAUGUUUAAUGUGCAGCUAGAUCUGAGCCUUUUCUCUAUAACAGGAAGCCCCCUAAAAAGUGCCACUGGACAAGCCAUUACAUUAUUUUAUGCUGAUAGACUUGGCUACUAUCCUCACAUAAUUGAAAACACUGGCGCAAGUGUACAUGGGGGAAUCCCUCAGCUGGGGUCCUUAGAAAAGCACCUGGAGAAAGCCAAGGCAGACAUUGCCCAUUACAUACCAACACAAGGCUUGGGCUUGGCUGUCAUUGACUGGGAAGGCUGGAGGCCUCUCUGGGCAAGAAACUGGAGACCUAAAGAUAUUUACAGGACUUUGUCUAUUGAGUUGGUUCAGAAAGAACGUAAUCAACUUAAUGCCACAGAAGCCGCCAAGAGAGCCAAAGUAGAUUUUGAAAACGCAGGAAAGUGUUUCAUGCUAACGACUUUAAAAUUGGGAAAAUCCCUUCGACCAAAUUAUUUAUGGGGUUACUAUCUUUUUCCUGAUUGUUACAACCAUCAUAAUAGAGACCCCAAUUACAAUGGAAGUUGCCCUCAAAUAGAAUAUAAAAGAAAUGAAGAGCUCAGCUGGCUGUGGAAUGAAAGCACAGCCCUCUUCCCAUCUGUUUACUUGACUAGCAAAUUGGAAUCUUCUCCAAAUGCCUCUCUCUUUGUCCGGAAUCGUGUUCAGGAAGCCAUUCGGAUUUCUAGAGUACCUGGUGCUACACGACCACUUCCGAUUUUUGUAUAUACCCGUCCAGUUUUUACUGACUUGGAUCUGAAAUAUCUUUCUGAGGGUGACCUUGUGAAUACAAUUGGUGAAACUGUCUCUCUGGGUGUCUCUGGAAUGAUAAUAUGGGGAAGUCUCAAUUUAAGCCAAAAUGUGCAAGCUUGCACAGAGCUUGACAGUUACAUGAAGAAUAAAUUGAAUCCUUACUUAAUCAACGUCACCCUAGCAGCCAAAAUGUGCAACCAAGUGCUUUGCCGGGAGAAAGGAGUGUGUGCAAGGAAAAAUUGGAAUUCAAGCGACUAUCUUCACCUGAACCCAGGCAGUUUUACUAUUCAACUUGAGAACAGUGGAAACUACACAGUAUCUGGGGAACCCACACUUGAAGACCUGCAGAAAUUUUCUGAAAAAUUUUAUUGCCUCUGUUAUGCCAAUGUCAACUGUAAGGAGAGAGUUGAUAUGACUAAGAUUCGUACUGUCAAACAUUUACCAACUACUGAAAAUUUUUCUGAGUGCUAGACCAAGAGUGCAGGUGAUCAAGUGGCACUCAGCUUCCAUGGAUUAAAGGAGAAACCAGCAUUCAAAGAAAGAGGAAGCCUCUCCAGGCAGAAGUCUGCGUCAUCCUGACCUUUAACACCCUGUGAUGGUGAUACUGCUAUGAUCUAAAGAAGCUCAGACCUCGGUAAGGCUGUUCACAUUGCCCAAAGCAGCCCAUGUGAAAUAAAGGGCACAGCAGGAUGCAAAUUCAAGCCUGAGGGACAACAGGAGUCCAAGGCCAUUAAGGUGAUGCCUGAAACCAAGAGAGGGUGUAAAGGGAGAGGAUCCAGGAAAUACUCAUGUUCUUCCAGAGGUGGGAAUAAGGACAGAGAAAAGCAACUGAAGAGUUGCUGGGCCAGAAACAGCCAGGGGUGAGCCAAGUUGAUUGUAGCCGAAGCCCAAUAAAGUAAAGACUUAC